rnacentral:rRNA from 1 species
AACGCUAGCUACAGGCUUAACACAUGCAAGUCGAGGGGCAGCAUGAACUUAGCUUGCUAAGUUUGAUGGCGACCGGCGCACGGGUGAGUAACACGUAUCCAACCUGCCGAUGACUCGGGGAUAGCCUUUCGAAAGAAAGAUUAAUACCCGAUGGCAUAGUUCUUCCGCAUGGUAGAACUAUUAAAGAAUUUCGGUCAUCGAUGGGGAUGCGUUCCAUUAGGUUGUUGGCGGGGUAACGGCCCACCAAGCCUUCGAUGGAUAGGGGUUCUGAGAGGAAGGUCCCCCACAUUGGAACUGAGACACGGUCCAAACUCCUACGGGAGGCAGCAGUGAGGAAUAUUGGUCAAUGGACGCGAGUCUGAACCAGCCAAGUAGCGUGAAGGAUGACUGCCCUAUGGGUUGUAAACUUCUUUUAUAUGGGAAUAAAGUGGUCCACGUGUGGAUUUUUGUAUGUACCAUAUGAAUAAGGAUCGGCUAACUCCGUGCCAGCAGCCGCGGUAAUACGGAGGAUCCGAGCGUUAUCCGGAUUUAUUGGGUUUAAAGGGAGCGUAGGCGGACUAUUAAGUCAGCUGUGAAAGUUUGCGGCUCAACCGUAAAAUUGCAGUUGAUACUGGUCGUCUUGAGUGCAGUAGAGGUAGGCGGAAUUCGUGGUGUAGCGGUGAAAUGCUUAGAUAUCACGAAGAACUCCGAUUG